rnacentral:rRNA from 2 species
UCCCGUAUGAGUCUCGGCGGACGGGUGAGUAACACGUGGGCAACCUGCCUGUAAGACUGGGAUAACUCCGGGAAACCGGGGCUAAUACCGGAUAAUUCAUUCCCUCACAUGAGGGAAUGCUGAAAGACGGCAUCUCGCUGUCACUUACAGAUGGGCCCGCGGCGCAUUAGCUAGUUGGUGAGGUAACGGCUCACCAAGGCCACGAUGCGUAGCCGACCUGAGAGGGUGAUCGGCCACACUGGGACUGAGACACGGCCCAAACUCCUACGGGAGGCAGCAGUAGGGAAUCUUCCGCAAUGGACGAAAGUCUGACGGAGCAACGCCGCGUGAGCGAAGAAGGCCUUCGGGUCGUAAAGCUCUGUUGUCAGGGAAGAACAAGUACCGGAGUAACUGCCGGUACCUUGACGGUACCUGACCAGAAAGCCACGGCUAACUACGUGCCAGCAGCCGCGGUAAUACGUAGGUGGCAAGCGUUGUCCGGAAUUAUUGGGCGUAAAGCGCGCGCAGGCGGUCCUUUAAGUCUGAUGUGAAAGCCCACGGCUCAACCGUGGAGGGUCAUUGGAAACUGGGGGACUUGAGUGCAGAAGAGGAGAGCGGAAUUCCACGUGUAGCGGUGAAAUGCGUAGAGAUGUGGAGAAACACCAGUGGCGAAGGCGGCUCUCUGGUCUGUAACUGACGCUGAGGCGCGAAAGCGUGGGGAGCGAACAGGAUUAGAUACCCUGGUAGUCCACGCCGUAAACGAUGAGUGCUAAGUGUUAGAGGGUUUCCGCCCUUUUAGUGCUGCAGCAAACGCAUUAAGCACUCCGCCUGGGGAGUACGGCCGCAAGGCUGAAACUCAAAGGAAUUGACGGGGGCCCGCACAAGCGGUGGAGCAUGGUGGUUUAAUUUCGAAGCACGCGAGAACCUUACCAGGUCU